rnacentral:misc_RNA from 1 species
CCCUUGACACUGUUAUAUAGCAAUAGCUAUAGGAUUAGGAUACAGGUGUCUGCUCCGCUGCUCUCGUGAGAGACAGCGUUCAUUUGCCUACCAUCGGCGCCUCUGUCAGACUGUCACCGCCACCGUCACAACCACCGUAAUCCCGGGAUAUGACUAGUGGCACCCGGAGCUUAUUGAACCGUCUUUUCCUUCGUCAAGACUCUUUUUUUUUUUUUUUUCACUCAAAUUGUAUUUCCUUUUUCUGGAUUUUGCAUUGAUAGUUUCGAAACUUGACCGAUUAGUCUUCGGCCGUUAAAUGAAUAGUUAUUAAAC